AACGAACGCUGGCGGCAUGCCUAACACAUGCAAGUCGAACGAGACCUUCGGGUCUAGUGGCGCAAGGGUGCGUAACGCGUGGGAACCUGCACUUAGGUUCGGAAUAACUCCCCGAAAGGGGUGCCAAUACCGGAUAAUGUCUUCGGACCAAAGAUUUAUCGCCUUUGGAUGGGCCCGCGUUGGAUUAGCUAGUUGGUAGGGUAAAAGCCUACCAAGGCGAGGAUCCAUAGCUGGUCUGAGAGGAUGAUCAGCCACACUGGGACUGAGACACGGCCCAGACUCCGACGGGAGGCAGCAGUGGGGAAUAUUGGACAAUGGACGAAAGCCUGAUCCAGCAAUGCCGCGUGAGUGAUGAAGGCCUUAGGGUUGUAAAGCUCUUUUACCCGGGAUGAUAAUGACAGUACCGGGAGAAUAAGCUCCGGCUAACUCCGUG
rnacentral:rRNA from 1 species